rnacentral:misc_RNA from 1 species
UCCGAGUUGACCCCGGCAGUCUCUUAUGAGUCCCCACCAUUACGUGCUGGCAACAUAAGACGAGGGUUGCGCUCGUUGCGGGACUUAACCCAACAUCUCACGACACGAGCUGACGACAGCCAUGCAGCACCUGUGCAGGAUCUCCGAAGAGGGGCCAAUGUUUCCAUCAGCUUUCCCCAGCAUGUCAAGCCUAGGUAAGGUUCUGCGCGUUGCGUCGAAUUAAACCACAUGCUCCACCGCUUGUGCAGGCCCCCGUCAAUUCCUUUGAGUUUUAGCCUUGCGGCCGUACUCCCCAGGCAGGGUACUUCCUGCGUUAGCGCCGGCACCCAGAGGGUCGCUCCCCCAGGCACCUAGUACCCAUCGUUUACGGCGUGGACUAC